rnacentral:rRNA from 1 species
AUUGAACGCUAGCGGGAUGCCUUACACAUGCAAGUCGAACGGAGCGGCGAACGGGUGAGUAAUGUAUCGGAACGUGCCCAGUAGCGGGGGAUAACUACGCGAAAGCGUCGCUAAUACCGCACACUAUCUGUCCGGUCGACCCGGGAUUGGCUAGUUGGUGGGGUAACGGCUCACCAAGGCGACGAUCCGUAGCUGGUUUGUCUGGACGACCAGCCACACUGGGACUGAGACACGGCCCAGACUCCUACGGGAGGCAGCAGUGGGGAAUUUUGGACAAUGGGGGAAACCCUGAUCCAGCCAUCCCGCGUGUGCGAAGAAGGCCUUCGGGUUGUAAAGCACUUUUGGCAGGAAAGCGGUACCUGCAGAAUAAGCACCGGCUAACUACGUGCCAGCCGCCGCGGUAAUUC